ACCAGUAGCCCCUGUUGUCCAAGCACCUCAACCUAACUCAUCUGGGGGAAGUAAAGUGAAAAUGACAGAAUACUUGAAGUUGGAUGCUCCCAAAUUCAACACGGGAGAUGAUCCAUUUGAGUACCUCAGAUCAGUUAAGAUGAUAACUGAUGAGCUAGGAGCUGAUGAUAGUAGAGCCAUUGAGAUGGCGGGGUUCACACUGAGAUGCAAGAAAGCUCGAGAGUGGUUCAAGAAUUAU
rnacentral:lncRNA from 1 species